UUUUAUUUUUAUAUUUAUAAAAUUAUAAAAUUUUUAUAUAAAAUGUAUAAUAUAAUAAAAUAAUAAAAUGUAUAAUAUAAUAAAAUAGAAAAAGAAAUAAAAGAAUUUUUUUUUUUUUUAUUUUUUUUAAGUGAAUUUUAAAUUUCUAUUAGAAUUUAGAAUUCUAUUAGAAUUUAGAACAUUUUUUUUCAAUCAAACAAAACUUUUGUAUCACAAAAAAUCCAAGAAACCCAUUACUUGAAUAAAGAAAAAAACCAAAUCUAUGGAACAGAAAUCUAUGGAAAGAGAAAUUUAUGGAACAGGGAUAAAUAGAUCCACAGAUAAGAUCCAAUUAUCUCAGAUCGGAUUAUAUUUAUUUGAUACACUGUUGUCAAUAUGAGUGUGAAUAUACUGAAAAAAAAUCGAUUUUUUCGUUAUGUUAGCAGUCUAUAGGUAUGAAUAGAGUAUGAAUAAAAGAAGAAAAGGGGGGGAUAGUAGAGAAAAGGUUAUACAAAGCUAUAUAUGUAUACGAAUUACCCGCACCCUUUAUUUCAUUAUUCAUUAUUUAUUUCAUUAUUCAUUAAGUAAAUUGUGUUUGAUUAAGGCGAAGUUCCGUAAAAACCCCUGCCUUCCUUUAAGAUAAAGAAAUAAGUUUUUUUGAAUCUUCAAGUGACUCCAUAGAAUGGAUUCGCCUAUCUCAUAUUUCUUAGAGUUCCAAGGACUCAUAAAAAACCAUUCAAAAUAUUGAAUUUAUAUUUCAUUUUGAAAUUGCCUAUCUCGAUAUCAUUAUUUGAAUAAAGUUUUAUUUUACAGUAAGAAACACAUUUAUUUUAUCAUCAUAAGAGAAAAAACCCCCCAUAUUGAUUAAACCAUCAACGAUUUAAAACAAAUAAAUGGGUUAUCCCAUUUUUUUUUUAGUGUAGUGGUGGAUAAAAAGACUAAUGUAAGGAAAAUUGGAAGUUAUUAUUCUUUCCUACUGAAUGCUAAAAUCAGAAUCGAAAUACUAGAAAGUCAUCUUAUUUAUCAGAUAGACUAAAGAAUUGUCACUGAAACUAAUUAUGGAUAUUCUAUGUUAAAUAUUUAAAUUAAGUAAAUUAAGUAAAUAUUAAAAUUAAGUAAUAAAAUUAAGUAAUAUAAUAAGUAAAGAAUCACCAUUUUUUUUUUACAUUACAAAAAAGGAAACAAAAGUGUUAAUAAGCUAAGAAUACAUACAUAUAAGCAUUUCCUCAUUUUAUGAGUAGUUUAUUUGACUUGACUUGAGUCUUUCUAAAAUUUUUCCUAAAGUUAAAGUAAAGUGAAUAAGAUAUAUGAAUCAACUCUGUCUUAAUUGUUAGAUAGAUUUAGAAUUAUUCAUUUUAGAAUUCGAAUUUUUUAUUAAAGCUAAAGACAAAAUAUCUUAAAACGAAGUUAGUAAAAAAAAAAUACAUAUGUUUCGUAUGUCUUUUCUUUAUUUGUUAAUAAAGAUUUUAACAGGCACAGACAUUGAAAUUGAUAUCUUCCAUUAAAAAUUAACUCCUAUCUACUCCCCCAAUUGUAUGAGAAGUGAUGAAUGAUAAAUCAAAUAAGGAAGAAUCCUU
rnacentral:lncRNA from 1 species